GUCUGUAUGCUCAAAGCAGUCCUGAAGUGCAGAGGAGGCCUCCUCAGUCCAGACCUGAACUAUUCUGGUGGUCGGCUUAGUUCUGCAGGCCAGAGGCUUGUAGACAGGAAUCAGCUCCACUGAGAUGUGGUCAGACAUGCCCAGAUAUGCUCAACUCCGAUA